AAUUAAUAAAAACUAUUAAUAUUUAUAAAAAUAUCUUUAAAUAAAAUUUAUAAAAAUUAUUUAUAAAAUUAUGAAUUAUGUAUCAUCUUUAAAAAUAAUUCAUUUAAAAAUUCCAAUUGAAUACACCACCGAACUUAGCUACUUAGUCCGUCGGUGUUGGUUUUAAACUCAACCUACCUCGCAUCUUCUUCCCUUCAGAUACGGGCCGAAGGUGCAAAACCCUAAUAGUAGGGUUUUAUCCCUGCGCGGAGCUUUUCAUUUCCAUUUAACUUUAUAGAAACGUGAAUUCUGCUACUCUCCAUUCUAUCAAGGCCCUCUUUAUCCAUUCUUGUGCUUAGAAGAAACCAAUUCGGUAAACAUAGACAGUGCCAACUUAAUGAGUUGGAAGAUUGGCGUAACCAAGCGUAUGGCAACUUGUUAAUCUACAAGGAGCAUACCAAGAAGUGGCAUGAUGAGAGGCUAAGGAGCACCAAGGAGUUCCAAGUUAAGGAUAGUGUGUUAUUAUAUAACUCACGACUUUGGCUCUUUCCUGGGAAGCUAAAGAGCCAUCAGUCAGGAUCGUUCACUGUCCAAUAAGUUUUCCCGUAUGGCAUAGUGGAAUUGCACCAUCCGCAUAAGGGAAACUUCAAGGUCGAUGGGCAUAGGUUGAAGCAUUACUAUGGUGACUCAUUGGAGCUCGAGGAGCGAGUCAACCUUGUACUGUAUUAACAAAAGUAACUCAAGCAUUAUGAGUCCAGCUAAAUGACUCGGGGAAAAAAGAAGCGCUUUUGGGAGGCACCCUAACUUUUAUUUUAUGUUUUUGGACAUUUUGAUCAUUGGUUUGGAACAUUAUCUUUUUAGUUUAGUCUUCAUUUUCAUUUAAUUUUUGAGCUUUAUAUACCAUUUGAGUGUUUAGAGAUAUGUGGAAGGUAGCUUGAAUAUUUGACUGUUGAAAAUUGCAGGAAAUUGCACGUGAAAAAGUGCAUGAAACGAAUUUUGGGUUUCAGCACGAUCUUAGUGGCUCAAUACACCCACGGAGCACACUCGUGCUAUUCAACACGGAUGUGUUAUAGGCAACCAAACCUUGCUAAGAGAAACAUGUAAUUUCAGAGUAACACGGUUUGUGGACACGACCGUGUGAUGCAACACGCCCGUGUUGAGCUGAAAUGGUAAUUCAGCACGUCUUCCAAGAGUAGCAGGGGUUGUGAACACGGGCCGUGUCAGGAAACACGAUCAUGUUUUGGGCACCUAAACCGUGUUGACAGAAAAAAUGGACCUCAGCACGUUUUCCGCAACCAACACAUGCUGGGAGAUUGGUCGUGCUAAACAUCACGGCUUGGAACACGGUCGUGCUAGCCUAAACAUCUAUAUAAGCCGCACUAUAUCGCAGGUAUUAUGGCUGAACGGCGUGAGAGACCCCAAAAGUUGGGUGUCUGCAAGACACAAUCGACCCAUCUCCACCUGCACCUGCACCUAGAGCUCCAGCUCCCGCACGACAUAGACUUUUACAGUUUCAGUGCCUCACUCAUGAGGCUCGUUACCAGCAGCUGCGGCACAAGAAGUUAGGCUUUGGGAGAUGCAUUGGUUGGCAGGCAUUGGAGAUGGUCGGCAUAGCCACUAAGGUCCGAGAGAUACUUCAGACUCCACCUUUUGAGGCCUUCUUCAGCAUUGUGGAGCCACUUAUAGGGAGCUCACACUUCAGUUCGCCUCUACUUUCUUUCUUCAGGCCAAGAUCAAGGACUGGUCGCAGCCAGAAGCCAUUUCGUUUCGGUUAGGAGGGCGAAAUUGCAUGAUGAGUAUUCCCCAGUUUGGUGCUGCACUUGGCCUCUAUGACCAGGCGACCAUAGAGUCAGAUGAUUUCAGAGGCUCCUUUGUACAAUCCAGGAGUUUCUUUUGACAAGGCUUGGGAGACCAUCUCAGAGGGGGACGAGCGUUACUACCCGAGCAAGUC